CUAGGGUUUUCCGUGUGCUAUAUAAAUAUGCGUCGGAAGCCACGGUUCCUCCCAUCCUCUUCCCGAAUCAGCGGCAGCCGAUCGUAGUGCGAGGUGGUACGUUAGGGAUCGGUCGAAGCUCACGAAGCGAUGAGGGCAAAGUGGAAGAAGAAGCGCAUGAGGAGACUGAAGAGGAAACGCCGAAAGAUGAGACAGAGAUCCAAGUAGCUCAUCGACUACAAGAACAACCAAUCUAGCUCUUCAUUGUCAUUAGUGUUAUUGGGUCUUUGAUCCUUUACCGAGGAAUGGAGAAAGCCAGAAUAGUUGUUUGUCGCCAUUUCUUUUGCUGCUGUAAGACUAUGAUGUUCGCUUUGGGACAACAAAAUUUUCUUAUUGUUCUGUAACUUAAUCAAAUUAUCAAGUGAUCGUUUCUUCUUCAAA